rnacentral:rRNA from 1 species
ACACUCCUGCGGGAGGCAGCAGUGGGGAAUAUUGGACAAUGGGCGCAAGCCUGAUCCAGCCAUGCCGCGUGAGUGAUGAAGGCACUAGGGUUGUAAAGCUCUUUCACCGGUGAAGAUAAUGACGGUAACCGGAGAAGAAGCCCCGGCUAACUUCGUGCCAGCAGCCGCGGUAAUACGAAGGGGGCUAGCGUUGUUCGGAUUUACUGGGCGUAAAGCGCACGUAGGCGGACUAUUAAGUCAGGGGUGAAAUCCCGGGGCUCAACCCCGGAACUGCCUUUGAUACUGGUAGUCUUGAGUUCGAGAGAGGUGAGUGGAAUUCCGAGUGUAGAGGUGAAAUUCGUAGAUAUUCGGAGGAACACCAGUGGCGAAGGCGGCUCACUGGCUCGAUACUGACGCUGAGGUGCGAAAGCGUGGGGAGCAAACAGGAUUAGAAACCCUUGUAGUCCCAUGA